rnacentral:misc_RNA from 1 species
AAGUCGUAACAAGGUUGCCGUAGGUUCAGGGGAAAGAUCAUUAACACGUAUCCAACGUUAAACACCCCGUGGACAUUUAUUGCAGUCGUGCCUCCGUUGGAAAUGAACAGUUUUGAUUCAAGGACUUCGUUGGUCUGGCUAAGACGACACGACGCAAGUGGUAUCCCUCUGCUUGUUAGUGUCGGAAAGUGUCACUAGCUCUGUAAGCAUGGCGCAGUAACAAUCGCUAGAGGCCGACACGGGCGGCGACUGGGUUUUAACCCCUCUGAUCAUGAAAACGGGCCUGCAUUGUGCGGUUACCAAACUUCGACCAACUGUUACAAUGGAUAUCUUGGUUCUC